AGCGAACGCUGGCGGCAGGCCUAACACAUGCAAGUCGAACGAAGUCUUCGGACUUAGUGGCGGACGGGUGAGUAACACGUGGGAACGUGCCUUUAGGUUCGGAAUAACUCAGGGAAACUUGUGCUAAUACCGAAUGUGCCCUUCGGGGGAAAGAUUUAUCGCCUUUAGAGCGGCCCGCGUCUGAUUAGCUAGUUGGUGGGGUAAUGGCCCACCAAGGCUACGAUCAGUAGCUGGUCUGAGAGGAUGACCAGCCACAUUGGGACUGGGACACGGCCCAAACACCAACGGGAGGCAGCAGUGGGGACUCUUGCGCAAUGGGCGAAAGCCUGACGCAGCCAUGCCGCGUGGAUGAUGAAGGUCUUAGGAUUGUAAAAUCCUUUCACCGGUGAAGAUAAUGACUGUAGCCGGAGAAGAAGCCCCGGCUAACUUCGUGCCAGCCGCCGCCGUAACAC
rnacentral:rRNA from 1 species